AACGAACGUUAGCGGUGUGGAUUAGGCAUGCAAGUCGAGCGCGAAAGUCCGCAAGGACGAGUAAAGCGGCGAAAGGGUGAGUAACACGUAACCAAUCUACCCACGAGAUCGGAAUAACCGGUGGAAACGCUGGCUAAUGCCGAAUGGUCCUGUCGGGAGGCAUCUCCUGGCACGUAAACGGCGGCGCAAGCUGCUGCUCGAGGAGGGGGUUGCGGGCUAUCAGCUAGUUGGUGGGGAACGGCCUACCAAGGCGAUGACGGCUAGCUGGUCUGAGAGGACGACCAGCCACACUGGGACU
rnacentral:rRNA from 1 species